UACGGAGGAUCCAAGCGUUAUCCGGAAUUACUGGGCGUAAAGAGUUGCGUAGGCGGUCAAGUAAGUUGGUAGUGAAAGCGUGGGGGCUCAACCUCAUAUCCAUUAUCAAAACUGCUUUGACUAGAGAAUGAGAGAGGUCGCUGGAAUUUCUUGUGUAGGAGUGAAAUCCGUAGAUAUAAGAAGGAACACCGAUGGCGUAGGCAGGCGACUGGCUCAUUUCUGACGCUCAGGCACGAAAGCGUGGGGAGCGACCGGGG
rnacentral:rRNA from 1 species